UACGAAGGGGCGAGCGUUGUUCGGAAUUACUGGGCGUAAAGGGCUCGUAGGCGGCCAACUAAGUCAGACGUGAAAUCCCUCGGCUUAACCGGGGAACUGCGUCUGAUACUGGAUGGCUAGAGAUUGGGAGAGGGAUGCGGAAUUCCAGGUGUAGCGGUGAAAUGCGUAGAUAUCUGGAGGAACACCGGUGGCGAAGGCGGCAUCCUGGACCAACACUGACGCUGAGGAGCGAAAGCCAGGGGAGCAAAGCGGG
rnacentral:rRNA from 1 species